AUUGAACGCUGGCGGCAGGCCUAACACAUGCAAGUCGAACGAGUGGCGGACGGGUGAGUAAUGUCUGGGAAACUGCCUAAUGGAGGGGGAUAACUACUGGAACAGUUAGCUAAUACCGCAUACCAUCAGAUGUGCCCAGAUGGGCUUAGCUAGUUGGUGGGGUAACGGUUCACAAAGGGGAAGAUCCCUAGCUGGUCUGAGAGGAUGAACAGCCACACUGGAACUGAGACACGGUCCAGACUCCUACGGGAGGCAGCAGUGGGGAAUAUUGCACAAUGGGCGCAAGCCUGAUGCAGCCAUGCCGCGUGUAUGAAGAAGGCCUUCGGGUUGUAAAGUACUUUCAGCGGGGAGGCGUUACCCGCAGAAGAAGCACCGGCUAACCCCGUGCCAGCAGCCGCGGUAAUAC
rnacentral:rRNA from 1 species